rnacentral:rRNA from 1 species
AUUGAACGCUGCGGCAGGCUUAACACAUGCAAGUCGAGCGAGCGGCGGACGGGUGAGUAAUGCUUAGGAAUCUGCCUUUUAGCGGGGGACAACAUCUCGAAAGGGAUGCUAAUACCGCAUACUAAUAGAUUAGCCUAGGUCGGUUCAGCGAGUUGGUGGGGUAAAGGCCUACCAAGGCGACGAUCUGUAGCGGGUCUGAGAGGGUGAUCCGCCACACUGGGACUGAGACACGGCCCAGACUCCUACGGGAGGCAGCAGUGGGGAAUAUUGGACAAUGGGGGGAACCCUGAUCCAGCCAUGCCGCGUGUGUGAAGAAGGCCUUAGGGUGGUAAAGCACUUUAAGCGAGGAGGCGUUACUCGCAGAGUAAGCACCGGCUAACUCUGUGCCAGCCGCCGCGGUAAUUC